UCCCUGAUGGUCCAGUGGUUAGGACUUGGCACUUUGACUGCCAAGGGCCCAGGUUCAGUCCGUGAUCAGGGAA